rnacentral:rRNA from 1 species
CGUGCCUAUACUGCAGUCGAGCGGACAGAAGGGAGCUUGCUCCCGGAUGUUAGCGGCGGACGGGAGAGUAACACGUGGGUAACCUGCCUGUAAGACUGGGAUAACUCCGGGAAACCGGAGCUAAUACCGGAUAGUUCCUUGAACCGCAUGGUUCAAGGAUGAAAGACGGUUUCGGCUGUCACUUACAGAUGGACCCGCGGCGCAUUAGCUAGUUGGUGAGGUAACGGCUCACCAAGGCGACGAUGCGUAGCCGACCUGAGAGGGUGAUCGGCCACACUGGGACUGAGACACGGCCCAGACUCCUACGGGAGGCAGCAGUAGGGAAUCUUCCGCAAUGGACGAAAGUCUGACGGAGCAACGCCGCGUGAGUGAUGAAGGUUUUCGGAUCGUAAAGCUCUGUUGUUAGGGAAGAACAAGUGCAAGAGUAACUGCUUGCACCUUGACGGUACCUAACCAGAAAGCCACGGCUAACUACGUGCCAGCAGCCGCGGUAAUACGUAGGUGGCAAGCGUUGUCCGGAAUUAUUGGGCGUAAAGGGCUCGCAGGCGGUUUCUUAAGUCUGAUGUGAAAGCCCCCGGCUCAACCGGGGAGGGUCAUUGGAAACUGGGAAACUUGAGUGCAGAAGAGGAGAGUGGAAUUCCACGUGUAGCGGUGAAAUGCGUAGAGAUGUGGAGGAACACCAGUGGCGAAGGCGACUCUCUGGUCUGUAACUGACGCUGAGGAGCGAAAGCGUGGGGAGCGAACAGGAUUAGAUACCCUGGUAGUCCACGCCGUAAACGAUGAGUGCU